CUUGCACAACUUUUUACUGGGAGAUCCAGUGGAUUGCUCUUCGUCUUACACAACUUGUAUUUUGACGUACCAAAGCCUUCCACCAAGGAGGUUCAGGAAAUCAUCCCCGUCUUCAACCCCCUAGGAGUGGCUGCCCGGAAACCUGCGGGAACAGGUGUAUGUAUCACGAGUGCAAAAUACUGCUAUGUCCCUGCAAGGAAAAGUGCACCAACCAAGACUAUACCAAACGCGAUUUUGUUCAAGGCAGUCAUCUGAAAAUGUUCAAAAGGUUUUGGCUUGCGAACUUUGGUGGGACUUGCACAACUUUUUAAUGUAACCGACAGCAAUCGUCGCUUGCAAGAAGCCAACUGGUGUAU